GAUGAACGCUGGCGGCGUGCCUAAUACAUGCAAGUCGAGCGAACAGAUGAGGAGCUUGCUCCUCUGACGUUAGCGGCGGACGGGUGAGUAACACGUGGAUAACCUACCUAUAAGACUGGGAUAACUUCGGGAAACCAGAGCUAAUACCGGAUAAUAUAUUGAACCGCAUGGUUCAAUAGUGAAAGACGGUUUUGCUGUCACUUAUAGAUGGAUCCGCGCCGCAUUAGCUAGUUGGUAAGGUAACGGCUUACCAAGGCAACGAUGCGUAGCCGACCUGAGAGGGUGAUCGGCCACACUGGAACUGAGACACGGUCCAGACUCCUACGGGAGGCAACAGUAGGGAAUCUUCCGCAAUGGGCGAAAGCCUGACGGAGCGACGCCGCGUGAGUGAUGAAGGUCUUCGGAUCGUAAAACUCUGUUAUUAGGGAAGAACAAAUGUGUAAGUAACUAUGCACGUCUUGACGGUACCUAAUCAGAAAGCCACGGCUAACUACGUG
rnacentral:rRNA from 1 species